rnacentral:rRNA from 1 species
AUUGAACGCUGGCGGAAUGCUUUACACAUGCAAGUCGAACGGCAGCAUAGGUGCUUGCACCUGAUGGCGAGUGGCGAACGGGUGAGUAAUACAUCGGAACGUGCCCAGUCGUGGGGGAUAACGUAGCGAAAGUUACGCUAAUACCGCAUACGAUCUACGGAUGAAAGCGGGGGACCGUAAGGCCUCGCGCGAUUAGAGCGGCCGAUGCCUGAUUAGCUAGUUGGUGGGGUAAAAGCCCACCAAGGCGACGAUCAGUAGCUGGUCUGAGAGGACGAUCAGCCACACUGGGACUGAGACACGGCCCAGACUCCUACGGGAGGCAGCAGUGGGGAAUUUUGGACAAUGGGCGCAAGCCUGAUCCAGCCAUUCCGCGUGCAGGACGAAGGCCUUCGGGUUGUAAACUGCUUUUGUACAGAACGAAAAGCCUUGGGUUAAUACCCUGGGGUCAUGACGGUACUGUAAGAAUAAGCACCGGCUAACUACGUG